UACGGGGGGGGCAAGCGUUGUUCGGAAUUACUGGGCGUAAAGGGCUCGUAGGUGGCCAACUAAGUCGGACGUGAAAUCCCUCAGCUUAACUGGGGAACUGCGUCCGAUACUGGAUGGCUCGAGUUUGGGAGAGGGAUGCGGAAUUCCAGGUGUAGCGGUGAAAUGCGUAGAUAUCUGGAGGAACACCGAUGGCGAAGGCAGGUCUCUGGGCAUUAACUGACGCUGAGGAGCGAAAGCAUGGGGAGCGAACAGG
rnacentral:rRNA from 1 species